rnacentral:SRP_RNA from 2 species
GCCGGGCGUGGUGGCGGGCGCCUGUAGUCUCAGCUACUCGGGAGGCUGAGGUGGGAGGAUCACCUGAGGUCAGGAGUUCAAGACUAGCCUGACCAACACAGUGAAACCCCGUCUCUA